CUGUGCUAGAUGGGGAGUUAGCGGUGCCCUGUACCUGCAAUCCGCUGUAGCAGGGUCGAAUGCCAUAUUGAGGCUCACUAGCUGUAGAGCAGCUCCAAAAAAGUGAUGAUGAUUGUCGGGUCCUGCGCAAUAGAGAUUCAUGAACCCCGUCAGAUCCGGAAGGAAGCAGCGGUAAGUGAUCCCCUCUAUGUGCCGCGGGAGCGCCUGAUAUGAGUUAACUCUUUGGGAGGCGUCUGUGGCUUUGAGUCGAAUUAUGGCUGCACAG
rfam:Peptoclostridium acidaminophilum DSM 3953 chromosome, complete genome.